rnacentral:rRNA from 1 species
UGAGGAAUCUUGCGCAAUGGGGGCAACCCUGACGCAGCAACGCCGCGUGAGUGAGGAAGGCCUUCGGGUCGUAAAGCUCUGUCGGAUGGAAAGAAACGGAUGCGGGUUAACAGCCUUCAUCCCUGACGGUACCAUCAGAGGAAGCACCGGCUAACUCCGUGCCAGCAGCCGCGGUAAUACGGGGGGUGCAAGCGUUGUUCGGAAUCAUUGGGCGUAAAGCGCGUGUAGGCGGCUUGGUAAGUCAGGUGUAAAAGCCCUGGGCUCAACCCAGGAAGUGCACUUGAUACUGCCUUGCUUGAGUACGGGAGAGGAAAGCGGAAUUCCUGGUGUAGAGGUGAAAUUCGUAGAUAUCAGGAGGAACACCGGUGGCGAAGGCGGCUUUCUGGCCCAAUACUGACGCUGAGACGCGAAAGCGUGGGGAGCAAACAG